CACAAUAGCCAGCGGCCUCCGAGGGGCAGAAGAGUGCUGUAGGAAGAGCAGACCCUCCGAGCCGUCCUGCCGGGGCUUCCAAUCCUGGCCCCACUGCUGUUAACUUCGUUUCCUUGGACUAGUUGCUUAACCUCUCUGUGCCUCAGUUUUUAAUCUGUAAAAUGGGGAUAAUAAUAUGAUUACCUUAUAGGGUUUUAUGGUGGAGAGUCCUCAUUGCCUCCCCACCUGCGUUCUCUCCUUUCUGGGCACACGGCUGAGCAGUUCGAAAUUGUAUUUCACCCUCCGUUAGAAGGAACUCUGUGCAACCAUGUGACUAAGGUUAACAGCAGAGUGAGAGCACAAGCCAUGUGUACAGCCCUGGCUCUACUUGGUUAGGAGGAACUUCCUUAUCCUGGAUGAACUCUUUCUUCCCUUUCCUCCCGGCUGUUUGGAGGUGGUGUUCACAGGUGGUGAACCAUGAUGGGGAAGCUCAGCAUUGGGGAUGGCAGAGCAUCCUGCUCGCCUGGGGCAUGUUGACUGUAGAAUGGAGUCCCGUCUACCGUCGCGGCCUUGUCAUGAAAGAAACCACUGUCUGUGUUCCCCGUGGCCCAGAUUAAGCAGUUGACCCAUGGCUACACUCCAAGUGCCAGAAGUGGGAUGUAAACCCAGGUCUGUCGGCCAGAGAACACUAGGUUGAGUUUCAAAAUACAAAUGUCCUUGUUAUUUAAACAAUCUCACAUUCGUAUGAAAAUAACGAGGCCCUAAUCAGUAUUAUCACCCUGAGAAUUUACAUCUGUUAGGUUCCCUUGAAGGUCAGGAGGGUCCUUCCACCCCGGGCUGCCGCAUCCCUCACCAACACUGAAAGGGGCCGUCAGGGAACAGAAGGUGUGUGGCUCAGACUCUAGGGUGGUGACCAUGGAGAAGGAGUCCGUGUCUCACUGACAAGACUGUCCAGGGGUUCCCACCGGGAAGGGAGAAAGUGACAGCAAGAGGACUGAGGGGCCUGGCUGUCUGUCCCUCCAGGGAGAUAAGGAACAAAUGACGCACAGGGAAGACCAGCGGCGACAGAGGAUGAGAAGCAGCAGUCACAGCAGGGAACUGCAGACCCAGAACAAAGACCCUCCACCUUUGCCUCGAUGGUAGGAGCAAAGUAUAAAGAAUCCUGGCACCGCCGGCAGUUUCCGUGGCAACCCGCCUGCCCCCUCGCUGGUCCAGCUGUGCAGAAUGAGACUCCGCAGGAGGCCGGCUCACACCUGCGGGGAGAGCGCUGUGAGGGUGCGGGCGUGUGGAGCAGCCCGGAAGUGGGGUGGGGGGGUGAGAGAAACAGCCUUGACUUAGAACUGGAACUGUUAUGGGUCCCGGGCGUUCACUGGCAUGCCCUAGUUGCCCUGGUGUUUUCCCACAGGGCAUGGUUUUAGACACAAAAAUAGCAUUUAGACCAAUGAAAACUAGGUUUGGGUAUUUAUAUCAGAGCAGCUUGUUGAUGGUCCCCCUUCCGCCGCCUCACCUCUCGGGGUCUUCCUGCCUAACCUUCCAGGCUGCACUGGAUCACACUGACAUGCUUUCGUGUUCAUCUUAAGUAGCUCUUUCAAGCCAACUAUCCUGGAUCUCAGACGCUUUCACCACCCUCCCCUCUUGACAUGGUGGGAAGAGCC
rnacentral:lncRNA from 1 species